UCUGUGAGGGAGAGGAGGACACCGAGCUGCUCCCACACAGCUCCACAGAGACAGGACUCUACCUUAUAGCAGCCUUUUGACUCUUUCACUCGUUAGUCGACUCUUCUAUCGGAUGAGAAAAUCAAACCAGGCUCUGUUAAAACUGCUAAAAGGGAAAAUCCCGUAGAAUCAGUCGGUGGAUAUUGCGCACAGUGGAGUGCAGCGAACCUGAUGUGCAAGAAAAUGUCGGCAAUGAAGUUUGCAGCGACUCACAAUGAAGACAAACUGCCACCAGACAGGAAGAGGAGCUGCAGUCCACCUGGAGAUAGAAACAUGGGUGGGUGGUUGGAAGGCUGGAUAAAGGCUGGUAGAUGACUGACUCGGAGACCCAGCGCAGUUCAUCAUCAUUGCCACGGGCUCUCGUCUUCCUCCUCUCCUCCACUGGCCCGCACCUCCAUCCAAGGGUCCAGCAGAGCCAGUGAAGCCCAGGCGGGGGGCUGGUGAGUGGGCCGGGAAGGAUGGAGAAGGUCCCUGAAGGCUCAAAGCACCUCUGGAGCUACCGUCAUGCAGGAGAAAUCAAUAUGAAACACAGAGGCUGCCCAGCUCUGAGUGGGGUUUCCUGCGUUAGUCUGUGGCCUAGGGGCCCGCAGACCUCCAAAGGACAGGCCCUGCGUGCCCCUCUCAGCUGCAGCCCUGGCACCUAAGACUGGACCUCAAUUCAUGAUCUCCACUGGCUGUGUGUGGUUCUGCUGAAGGGGAUCUCUCCCCAAAUAAUACCCAAUACCCAUAAUGCUGAAAGACUGCCGAGAGGGGUAUUCCUUUCUCUUGAUUUGUCUUUCCUUCAUAAGAUUGACAUAUCCCCCAUUCUCUGCCUCUGGCUGUUUAGAAACCAGUUUGGGAGUUCACGUUUUGACUCACUCUCCAUCCUCCACCCGCCCCCUGUUUAUUCACCGACAAAUUUUUCACAUUUGAAAAAGAGACAUUGUUGUCUUUAUUUCCUCCUCCUCUCAUGGUUUGCUGUUACUAUGGUGAGCCACGGUCAUGUGUCUGUUCAAACCAGCAACACCGGCACAUGAUCUUUCUCCAAGAUAUUAUUCAAUCCCAGACUGAUUAAAAAAACUGACUGAACGUGAAGAUGGCUGAAGAUCACAGAGCAGAGAGGUUUCCCCACCUUACAGUGGAAAUGGUU